rnacentral:rRNA from 1 species
UACGGGGGGGGUAAGCGUUGUUCGGAAUCACUGGGCGUAAAGGGCGCGUAGGCGGCUUUAUAAGUCGGGGGUGAAAGCCUGUGGCUCAACCACAGAAUUGCCUUCGAUACUGUAGAGCUUGAGACCGGAAGAGGUAAGUGGAACUGCGAGUGUAGAGGUGAAAUUCGUAGAUAUUCGCAAGAACACCAGUGGCGAAGGCGGCUUACUGGUCCGGUUCUGACGCUGAGGCGCGAAAGCGUGGGGAGCAAACAGG